rnacentral:rRNA from 1 species
GAUGAACGCUGGCGGCGUGCCUAACACAUGCCAGUCGAGCGGCAGCGAGGGGUGCUUGCACCCUGUCGGCGAGCGGCGGACGGCUGAGUAACGCGUGGGAACGUUCCCCAAAGUGAGGAAUAACUGCCCGAAAGGGUAGCUAAUACCGCAUAUUAUCUUCGGAUCAAAGGAUUUAUCCGCUUUGGGAGCGGCUCGCGUCGGAUUAGGUAGUUGGUGAGGUAAUGGCUCACCAAGCCGACGAUCCGUAGCUGGUCUGAGAGGAUGACCAGCCAGACUGGAACUGAGACACGGUCCAGACUCCUACGGGAGGCAGCAGUGAGGAAUCUUCCACAAUGGGCGAAAGCCUGAUGGAGCAACGCCGCGUGCAGGACGAAGGCCUUCGGGUUGUAAACUGCUUUUAUAAGUGAGGAAUAUGACGGUAACUUAUGAAUAAGGAUCGGCUAACUACGUG